GGGACCCCCCGGCGAUGGCUGAGCUCGGGUUCGUCAUGAGCCGGGACGGGACGGGACGGACGGGGGGGAAAACAGGGGGAAAACAACCCGAGGGAGGGAUGGAUUUGGGAGCGGAGGGUGGGAGUUGAGGCGGGCGGGGAGGGAAUUCCAGCGGCGGGAGGUGCCGGGCGAGUGCCGUGGCAGGCGGCCCGCUGAAUGCCAGUGGUCGGAUCAGCCCCGGCUCCGGAUGAGCUCCGCUCCCGCCCCGUGCCCCCUGCCCUUCCUGCCCUCCGCGAACGUCUCCCCUGGAAAUGCGGAGGCACCGGCGGGUCCCGCUCCCUCCCCGGCCCUUCCUUCUCGAGUUUCUGCGUCCUCCUGUUCCAGUCCUGGGUCCUUCUCCAGUCCCUGUGUCCUCCUGUUCCAGUCCUUGGUCCUUCUCCAGUCCCUGUGUCCUCCUGUUCCAGUCCUGGGUCCUUCUCCAGUCCCUUCGUCCUUCUGUUCUAAUCCCAGAUCCUUCUCCAGUCCCUGUGUCCUUUCAUUCAAAUCCUGGGUCCUUCUCCAGUCCCUGUGUCUUCCUGUUCCAGUCCUGGGUCCUUCUCCAGUCCCUGUGUCCUUUCAUUCCAACCCUGGAUCCUUCUCCAGUCCCUUCGUCCUCCUGUUCCAGUCCUGGAUCCUUCUCCAGUCCCUGUGUCCUCUCAUUCCAAUCCUGGGUCCUUCUCCAGUCUCUGUGUCCUCCUGUUCCAGUCCUGGGUCCUUCUCCAGUCCCUGCGUCCUUCUCCAGUCACUGUGUCCUCCUUCUCUGAAACCAGCCCUAACAUCCCUAAAGCCAGCCCUAUUCUCCCCAAAACCAGACCUAUCAUCCCUAAAUCCAGCCCUAACAUCCCUAAAACCAGCCCUAUCCUCCCCCAAAACAGAUCUAUCAUCCCUAAAUCCAGAUUUGUCCUCCCUAAAUCCAGCCCUAUCAUCCCUAAAACCAGCCCUAUCCUCCCCAAAACAGACCUAUCAUCCCUAAAUCCAGACCUAUCCUCCCUAAAUCCAGCCCUAUCAUCCCCAAAACCAGACAUAUCCUCCCUAAAACCAGACCUAUC
rnacentral:lncRNA from 1 species